rnacentral:rRNA from 1 species
UACGUAGGUGGCGAGCGUUAUCCGGAAUUACUGGGCGUAAAGGGCGUGUAGGCGGCACUGUAAGUCAGAUGUGAAAUCUCUCGGCUCAACCGGGAGAGGGCGUCUGAUACUGCAGUGCUUGAGUGAUUGAGGGGAAAGCGGAAUUCCUGGUGUAGCGGUGAAAUGCGUAGAUAUUAGGAGGAACACCAGUGGCGAAGGCGGCUUUCUGGCUAUUAACUGACGCUGAGGCGCGAAAGCGUGGGGAGCAAACGGG